rnacentral:lncRNA from 1 species
UAGAUGGUGAGACCGACUGGAAGCUGAAGGUGGCGGUGAGCUGCACACAACGGCUGCCAGCCCUAGGGGACCUUUUUUCUAUCAGUGCCUAUGUUUAUGCUCAGAAGCCACAACUGGAUAUUCAUAGUUUUGAAGGAACAUUUACCAGGGAUGACAGUGAUCCUCCCAUUCAUGAGAGUCUCAGCAUAGAAAACACAUUGUGGGCAAGCACCAUUGUUGCCUCAGAACCUGCCUAUUCACUCAGCAGUUUUGAAUAGGGUCUCAGUUUCCCCAUACUGCUGAGACAGUCUGGAACGAGGCAAUAAUGAAACAUCAGUUGGUGGCUAAGGUACUGUAAUAGGUGUUGUCAUUUAUACUGGAAAAGAGACUCGAAGUGUAAUGAACACAUCCAAUCCAAAAAAUAAGGUUGGUUUAUUGGACCUCGAACUCAAUCAGCUGACAAAGGCGCUAUUUCUGGCUUUAGUUGUUCUUUCUGUUGUUAUGGUAACCUUACAGGGAUUUGCAGGCCCAUGGUACCGUAAUCUUUUUCGGUU